GUAGAGUGGCGAACGGGUUAGUAACGCGUGGGAACAUACACAGCACAGGGGGAUAACCAUUGGAAACGAUGGCUAAUACCGCAUACGCCCUAUUGGGGAAAGAUUUAUCGGUGUUGGAUUGGCCCGCGUUAGAUUAGCUAGUUGGUGGGGUAAUGGCUCACCAAGGCGACGAUUUAUAGCUGGUUUGAGAGGAUGAUCAGCAACACUGGAACUGAGACACGGUCCAGACUCCUACGGGAGGCAGCAGUCGGGAAUAUUGUGCAAUGGGGGCAACCCUGACACAGCCAUGCCGCGUGAGUGAAGAAGGCCUUAGGGUUGUAAAGCUCUUUCAGAUGUGAGGAUGAUGACGAUAGCAUCAGAAGAAGCUCCGGCUAACUUCGUGCCAGCAGCCGCGGUAAUACGAAGGGAGCUAGCGUUGUUCGGAAUUACUGGGCGUAAAGGGCGUGUAGGCGGAUUAUCAAGUUAGGGGUGAAAUCCCGGGGCUCAACCUCGGCACUGGCUUUAAGACUGAUAAUCUAGAGUAUGUGAGGGGAU
rnacentral:rRNA from 1 species